UAGAAUUUUCCCUAACUGUACCAAAACAAGGUUGAUGUCUUAAACUGCUUAAUUUCAGUCUGUCACGUUCUUCAGCUUUUCUGGUCAUGGAUUCUGUGCACUGCAGUCUACAGUGUAUUUUCGGUAUCUUUGUCUAUCAAUACUUGAACAUAUUUUUGUAUUUCAAAUCCAUGGCACAGUGUUCAAAAUGCCACUAUUCUUCCUUUUUCCUUUUUUUCUUCGGUUUUCCUUCCUUUUUUUCCUUCCUACCUAGGAAAGCCAUUCUUUUUUUUAGAACUGAAAAGAUCCAAAUCCACCAUCUCACAGAAGGAUUUCAGGAGCAAGGUGAAACAGAGACUGCCAGAGCGUUGGAAGAAUGGCGAAGGGUCUGCAGGAGUCCCCAAUUUCCAUUAUGGGGGUGGUGGCCAAGCUGCAAAACCCACAAAAAGAUGGACAACAGCAAGCGCAACACGCCCACCUAUGAGCGCAGGAGAGACCAGCCUGUCCCCUUCGUACUGUCCUUCCACUGGAACAAGUGUUAACGUGUGUAUCAGGUCUUCUGUCAACACAAAGAAAAGACCUU